UACAGAGGGGGCCAGCGUUAUUCGGAAUUACUGGGCGUAAAGCGUGCGUAGUCGGUUAUCUAAGUCGGGUGUGAAAUCCCCGGGCUCAACCUGGGAAUUGCAUUCGAUACUGGAUAGCUAGAGUUCGGCAGAGGGAAGCGGAAUUUCCGGUGUAGCGGUGAAAUGCGUAGAUAUCGGAAGGAACAUCAGUGGCGAAAGCGGCUUCCUGGACCAGAACUGACGAUCAGGCACGAAAGCGUGGGGAGCAAACAGG
rnacentral:rRNA from 1 species